rnacentral:rRNA from 1 species
AUCCCGGUCGCGGACUCCAGAGACGGAGUUCUUCAGUUCGGCUGGACCGGAGACAGGUGCUGCAUGGCUGUCGUCAGCUCGUGUCGUGAGAUGUUGGGUUAAGUCCCGNAACGAGCGCAACCCCCGUCCUUAGUUGCUACCAUUUAGUUGAGCACUCUAAGGAGACUGCCGGUGAUAAGCCGCGAGGAAGGUGGGGAUGACGUCAAGUCCUCAUGGCCCUUACGGGCUGGGCUACACACGUGCUACAAUGGCGGUGACAAUGGGAAGCGAAGACGCAAGUCCUAGCAAAUCUCAAAAAGCCGUCUCAGUUCGGAUUGGGCUCUGCAACUCGAGCCCAUGAAGUUGGAAUCGCUAGUAAUCGUGGAUCAGCACGCCACGGUGAAUACGUUCCCGGGCCUUGUACACACCGCCCGUCACACCAUGGGAGUUGGUUUUACCUGAAGACGGUGCGCUAACCGCAAGGAGGCAGCCGGCCACGGUAGGGUCAGCGACUGGGGUGAAGUCGUAACAAGGUAAGCGUAGAUGA